ACUGGUGUAAUGAACAGAAUCUGCUUUUAGUUAAUAACUGGAAUCUGUUCUGGGAGCAUCCUAGGUUGUUUCGUCCUGAUGGCCUGCACCCCAGCAGCCUCGGAGCGGAACUGCUGUCAGACAACAUCUCGAAGGUGCUACACACCAAGUGACUGCCUACCCGUGCUUACUUGAAGACAGUGAGGGGAGCAGCAUUGGAGAGACAGUUCGCUCCAUUCUCCAAAGAAUUGGGGAGAACAGCCUGUGAUGAAUGUUUUCGUUGAAAGGGUCAAAAGAUAUUGCCGAACGAGCCCAUGGACGUGAAUAUACUGUUGCCAGUUGCAGAGAGGCCAUCGGCAGCUUACCUAAAAAAUGCCCCAGCCAGGAAAGGUGGCAAGAAACAUAAUGAGUGUUUAUGAUUAAGUCUAGAAUUUAAAUCUACAACUUCUGUGAUUCUUUUUCUUUUAUCAUUCAAACAAAUGUGCCAUUGUGUAACAUUGUUGACUGAUUCAUUAGUUUUUAUAUCCAUUUGAAAAGCAAAAACCUUUCCACUAUGCAUAUAACUGAAAAUGCAUACAUACUCCAAACCUUUUGUGAAUAUUGAUGAUUGAUUUGGAGGUUUCAAAUUAUGAGUGAAUUGUGGUUCACUUUCUUGCGUUCAGGAAUGUGUAGCUAAUGUCUGUAGUUUACUAAUUCCGAAAUUGUUGGUUAAGACUGCAUCAUAUAGUACAUGUGUAUACCAAUGAAAUGAAAUGUCAUAUAUUCAGAUAUAUCCACUGUCUGUUCACAGCAGAGCUAUGUGGGAUCUCCAGUGCAUCCUACAAGAAUUGGGUGUGAGUCCAGUUCAGAUUCAAUUUUGGAAUCUCAUUCCUCUCUCUCGCGUGACAGCCUCCAAACAGUACAAUUCUAAUGAGCUUGUAUAUACUGAGAAUUCCAUUUGGAUUUAUUUGAUGUCUGAUUAAUAAAAAAAUUUCUUUGAUUAGCAAUACAUGAGUAUAUCUGGCUAUUCACUUUGUCUGCAUUUACUAAAAUUCAUGCAUGUUUAUU